UACGGACGGUUUUGCUAUUAAUCCAUAAAAGGGAGGGUCAAGAAAAUGCACCAAAUUAUUCAAGGUUUUCCUGCUGUUAUUUCAAAAUUAAUGAUGGCGCCACCAUUAGUAAUUAAUUAUCUUAACCUUGAGGCUUUCUCGCUUGGUCCACGCGGGCUCAUUAGGGCGCCCUUAUUUAAGAAAGAUAAGCAUUUUCUCACUUGUAAUGUGGGCUGAUAGUAUAAGAACUAAAGAAAGACGAUAAUACAAAAGGAGACCGGGUGUAAUUGUUUUUAACAAACCUGCAAUCGUGUUCAUCGCACGUGCACAGGAGAAGCAAAACUCGAGAGAGUAGAAGAAUUCCGUUCAUUUAGCAAACGUAUUAAGUUAAGCUCGCUUGUAGAUGAAGAUGUGUAACAAAGCCAUUCUUGCACUGGCGGUUUUGAUAGCUUUCUGUAAUAUUGUGAAAACUUCAUCAUUAGUUCACGACAUUGCCCAGCGAUCCCUGAGAUGUGCUGGAUAUGGCGCAAGGUGUAGCCCUUGGAGGUAUCCUCGGUGUUGCUGGCCUUUAAAGUGCACCCGUUUAAGAUGUUACCGUGGCUUCAGAAACGGAUGAUCUUAUGGUGUUUGUGUGGUCGUCUCGUCAUAUGCUUCUUCAGUUAUAGCUGUUUUAUAUAAUUGUUAUUAAAACGGGUUGAAUAAAAAGAUAAUUGUACUGCA